GACGAACGCUGGCGGCGUGCCUAAUACAUGCAAGUAGAACGCAGUUGCGAACGGGUGAGUAACGCGUAGGUAACUGCCUGGUAGCGGGGGUUAACUAUUGGAAACGAUAGCUAAUACCGCAUACUACCAGAUGGACCUGCGUUGUAUUAGCUAGUUGGUGGGGUAACGGCUCACCAAGGCAACGAUACAUAGCCGACCUGAGAAGGUGAGCGGGCAACCUGGGACUGGGACACGGGCCAGACUCCUACGGGAAGCAGCAGGAGGGAAUCUUCGGCAAAUGACGGAAGGCUGAACGAGCAACGCCGGGGGAGGGAAGAAGGUUUUCGGAACGUAAAGCUCUGUUGGAAGAGGAGCGGUAUCUUACCAGAAAGGGACGGCUAACUACGUGCCAGCAGCCGCGGUAAUAC
rnacentral:rRNA from 1 species